rnacentral:rRNA from 1 species
GACGAACGCUGGCGGCGUGCUUAACACAUGCAAGUCGAGCGGAAAGGCUCCUUCGGGGGUACUCGAGCGGCGAACGGGUGAGUAACACGUGAGUAAUCUGCCCUUCACUUGGGGAUAACUACCGGAAACGGUGGCUAAUACCCGAUACGACAACUCCACGCAUGUGGUGGUUGUGGAAAGUUUUUUCGGUGGAGGAUGUGCUCGCGGCCUAUCAGCUUGUUGGUGGGGUAAUGGCCUACCAAGGCUUCGACGGGUAGCCGGCCUGAGAGGGUGACCGGCCACACUGGGACUGAGACACGGCCCAGACUCCUACGGGAGGCAGCAGUGGGGAAUAUUGGACAAUGGGCGAAAGCCUGAUCCAGCAACGCCGCGUGAGGGAUGACGGCCUUCGGGUUUGUAACCUCUUUCAGCNGGGACGAAGCGCCGGUAAUGGUGGUGACGGUACCCGCAGAAGAAGCACCGGCCAACUACGUGCCAGCAGCCGCGGUAAUACGUNAGGUGCGAGCGUUGUCCGAAAUUAUGGGGCGUAAGGGCUCGUAGGCGGUUUGUCGCGUCGGGAGUGAAAACACCGGGCUUAACUCGGUGCUUGCUUUCGAUACGGGCAGACUAGAGGCAUGCAGGGGAGAACGGAAUUCCUGGUGUAGCGGUGAAAUGCGCAGAUAUCAGGAGGAACACCGGUGGCGAAGGCGGUUCUCUGGGCAUGUCCUGACGCUGAGGAGCGAAAGUGUGGGGAGCGAACAGGAUUAGAUACCCUGGUAGUCCACACCGUAAACGUUGGGCGCUAGGUGUGGGGCCUAUUCCAUGGGUUCCGUGCCGCAGCUAACGCAUUAAGCGCCCCGCCUGGGGAGUACGGCCGCAAGGCUAAAACUCAAAGGAAUUGACGGGGGCCCGCACAAGCGGCGGAGCAUGCGGAUUAAUUCGAUGCAACGCGAAGAACCUUACCUGGGUUUGACAUACACCGGAAAGCCUUAGAGAUAAGGCCCCUUUUGUCGGUGUACAGGUGGUGCAUGGCUGUCGUCAGCUCGUGUCGUGAGAUGUUGGGUUAAGUCCCGCAACGAGCGCAACCCUCGUCCUAUGUUGCCAGCACGUCAUGGUGGGGACUCAUAGGAGACUGCCGGGGUCAACUCGGAGGAAGGUGGGGAUGACGUCAAGUCAUCAUGCCCCUUAUGUCCAGGGCUUCACGCAUGCUACAAUGGCCGGUACAAAGGGCUGCGAUGCUGCAAGGCGGAGCGAAUCCCAAAAAGCCGGUCUCAGUUCGGAUUGGGGUCUGCAACUCGACCCCAUGAAGUCGGAGUCGCUAGUAAUCGCAGAUCAGCAACGCUGCGGUGAAUACGUUCCCGGGCCU